AAGUGGUGUUACGACCUUCCUGACAGGUGCAGAAGCUGAGGCUCAGUCUCCAGCUGGUACUGAGAGGUUCAUCUGCUUACUGAAACCCUGGGCAUUGAAAUGGCCAAGGAGGACUUUGUAACCACUGACUGCUGCUGUUGCUAAGAAACAGGUCCUUUAAAUUCAAUUUACAAAAAAAAAUAGAGUGAGCGAGCAAGUGAGCGAGAGCAAGGAAGAGAUGCUUGAACAUCUGGUUAUCUUUCCAGCUGUCUCCGGUGACUAUGGAAAUGAGAUAAGGACAUUCCAAGAUGGAUGCUGCCCCUCUUCAAGCCAACUUUCCUCUAGGCUAAUAUUUUAGAUCAACACUGGGUUUGCUGGGGUGGGGGUGUAGGAGUCUCCUUUCAGGAAACUCAGUAGGUUGAACAAAUUCCGGUCACAUUCCCCCUCCAGGGCAGAUGCAGUCUCCCCGCAAAAGUCAGCUCCCUGGUCCUUCUGUUUGGUGCCCCCACUACUUCCACUGCCAGAAUAAAUCAUUCCGCAUAUUUGUA
rnacentral:lncRNA from 1 species